rnacentral:rRNA from 1 species
UACGGAGGAUGCAAGCGUUAUCCGGAUUCAUUGGGUUUAAAUGGUGCGUAGGCGGAAUAAUAAGUCAGUGGUGAAAGCCUGCGGCUUAACCGUAGAAUUGCCGUUGAUACUGUUAUUCUUGAGUAUAGUUGAAGUGGGCGGAAUGUGUAAUGUAGCGGUGAAAUGCUUAGAUAUUACACAGAACACCAAUUGCGAAGGCAGCUCGCUAAACUGUUACUGACGCUGAGGCACGAAAGCGUGGGGAGCAAACAGG